rnacentral:rRNA from 1 species
GUUGGGUUCAGAACGUCGUGAGACAGUUCGGUCCCUAUCUGCCGUGGGUGUAGGAAUAUUGACAGGAUCUGUCCCUAGUACGAGAGGACCGGGAUGGACGUAUCUCUGGUGGAUCUGUUGUCCUGCCAAGGGCAUAGCAGAGUAGCUAUAUACGGAAUGGAUAACCGCUGAAGGCAUCUAAGCGGGAAACCAACCUGAAAACGAGUGUUCCCUAUCAGAGCCGUGGAAGACGACCACGUUGAUAGGACGGGUGUGGAAGCAUGGCAACAUGUGAAGCUUACCGUUACUAAUAGCUCGAUCGACUUCUUCGU